rnacentral:rRNA from 1 species
GUGAGGAAUAUUGGUCAAUGGACGAGAGUCUGAACCAGCCAAGUCGCGUGAAGGAAGACGGUUCUAUGAAUUGUAAACUUCUUUUGUGCAGGAAUAAAGUGGGUUACGUGUAACCUUUUGUAUGUACUGUACGAAUAAGGAUCGGCUAACUCCGUGCCAGCAGCCGCGGUAAUACGGAGGAUCCGAGCGUUAUCCGGAUUUAUUGGGUUUAAAGGGUGCGUAGGUGGAUUGAUAAGUCAGCGGUGAAAGUUUGCAGCUUAACUGUAAAAUUGCCGUUGGAACUGUCGGUCUUGAGUGCAAAUGAGGUAGGCGGAAUGUGUUGUGUAGCGGUGAAAUGCUUAGAUAUAACACAGAACUCCGAUUGCGAAGGCAGCUUACUGGGAUGCAACUGACACUGAUGCACGAAAGCGUGGGUAUCAAACAGGAUUAGAUACCCUAGUAGUCC